rnacentral:lncRNA from 1 species
GAAAUUUUAUAAGGGGGUGAGAUUGUAACACCUUGAAAGUUUAUAGCUCUAGAAAUUUUAGGUCUAGUCAAGUUUUUAUGCAAGUAAAUUAGCGAUGCCUAAAAGCUAAUUUGGAUCUAUAUGAAUAUCUUUAAAGUUGAGGAAACAAAGUGGAAACAAAUAUAAAUUUAUACUUUUAUUUAAUUAUGUCAAAAUGGUUAACUAUUGGUGGAGUUGAUUUUCCUAUCAAUAUUAGGCUCUUUUCGAACUUCAAAUUAAAUGAUGAUUUAUAAGCCAGUGAUAAUAACUACUUAGUAAAUAAAAUUAGUUAUCAAUUUAGACCAUAUUACUAUAACAAUAUCAAACUCAUUUGAUAGAUCAUAAUUAAUUUUAUGUAUAUUUAGAUAAAGUUAAUUUGGACUAAAUUACGUUAGAGCGAUCAAGAUUUGGGGAUUAAUUCACGUAGCAAUUAGGCUUGUCAUUAUCCAUAUCAUGAUUCCCUUAUUAUUUAGUUAUAGUAGGAUUUGGAGUUAGCCAUAAUUAGGCAAGAGCUUAUGUGAUAAGUCCUAGUGAAAUCAAAUUCCAUGGAAGCUUUCUGCUUUUGGUCAGUUUGGUUAAAAGAUGAUAAUGGCUACUUUUGUGGAAAUUAAAUAAGAGUUCUAUUAGUUAUUUAAACUGGUUGUUUGCAUUAAAAUAAAUUAAGCCUUAUAUCCAAUGCAAUUAGGAGUCCAACUUAUCUUAAUGUGUGCAUUAUGAUAACUUAAUCAGGAAUAAAUCAAUUCAAAGAAAUGUAUUUAAAAUGUAUUUUUAAUGCAUCUUUUAAUAUAAUUAGCAAAAAGGUUAUAAUAUUUUAUUAUAUAAUCAUGUUUAUCUUCAUAAUUUGAAAAAAAAAAAAAAAAGAGAGAGAGAUUGAAUAAUACCCAACUCUGUUUUCCAAAUGAAAUCCAUAAUAUCAAAGGUAGUUUUCUCCAAUGAGUAGACAUCAUUAUAAAAAGGAUUGUCUUUUAAGAUAAUUAGGAAGAAAACCUGGCUCUGAUACCAUAC